rnacentral:rRNA from 1 species
CACGUAGGGUGCGAGCGUUGUCCGGAAUUAUUGGGCGUAAAGAGCUCGUAGGCGGUGUGUCGCGUCGGCCGUGAAAACCUGCAGCUUAACUGUGGGCUUGCGGUCGAUACGGGCAUCACUGGAGUUCGGCAGGGGAGACUGGAAUUCCUGGUGUAGCGGUGAAAUGCGCAGAUAUCAGGAGGAACACCGGUGGCGAAGGCGGGUCUCUGGGCCGAUACUGACGCGGAGGAGCGAAAGCGUGGGGAGCGAACAGG